AGAUAACCCUGAUUGCAGCUUUGUUUGAGCUCAUUUUAUAGGUUUCGGCGCGGCAGCUUCGCUGCCGCGCCGAAACCUAUAAAAUAGCGAGUGCGGAAAGCGGGAAAUAGC
rnacentral:misc_RNA from 1 species